CACGUAGGGCGCAAGCGUUGUCCGGAAUUAUUGGGCGUAAAGAGCUCGUAGGCGGACCGUCACGUCCGCUGUGAAAAGCUAGGGCUUAACCCUGGCCUUGCAGUGGAUACGGGCAGACUAGAGGUAGGUAGGGGAGAAUGGAAUUCCCGGUGUAGCGGUGAAAUGCGCAGAUAUCGGGAGGAACACCGGUGGCGAAGGCGGUUCUCUGGGCCUUACCUGACGCUGAGGAGCGAAAGCGUGGGGAGCGAACAGG
rnacentral:rRNA from 1 species